UGAUAAAAUUUCCAAUUAAUU
rnacentral:piRNA from 1 species